rnacentral:misc_RNA from 1 species
GAAACUUCAUCUGCACCACCAACUAACCAGAAAUCAAACUUCAGUGCAUUUACAUAGAUGGCAAGAAUAACAGUUCAGCACCAUGUACAAAAUCCCUAAACAUUGUGAAAUGUUAAUGAUGUAGAAAAAUCUCUGAUACCAAAUUGACAUAGAACCAGAGGAACAAAGGGGAAUAAUGGGGUGAGAAACUAAUUCUCAGUUGGUAGAGAAAACAUUCUCUAGAUUAAAGAGAAAUAAAUUCUCAAUUU